rnacentral:rRNA from 1 species
AUGAAUAUCCUAUCAUGGAACUGCCGGGGGGACCGCCGGACAGUUCGUGAGGUUUUGGCCCUCUCAAAAGCCAACAACCCCAAGCUAGUCUUUCUUUGUGAGAAUAGGCAACAUGCAACUAAAGUGGAGAAAUUGAAGUGGAGAUUAGGCCUAAAAGGCUUUCAUGGUGUCAGUAGUGAUGGACGCAGUGGCGGCCUCGCUCUGUUUUGGGAGGAGACGCUUUCAGUUACAGUGCUCGAAUCGUGUAAUAGAUUCAUUGAUGUUUGUUUUCUUGAU